UUGGAGGGCAAGUCUGGUGCCAGCAGCCGCGGUAAUUCCAGCUCCAAUAGCGUAUAUUAAAGUUGUUGCAGUUAAAAAGCUCGUAGUUGAAUUUCGGGGUCAGUAGGCUGGUCGUGCCACGGGUAUGUACUGGUCUCACUGAUUCCUCCUUCCUGAUGAACCGUAAUGCCAUUAAUUUGGUGUUGCGGGGAAACUGGACUGUUACUUUGAAAAAAUUAGAGUGUUUAAAGCAGGCUAACGCUUGAAUACAUUAGCAUGGAAUAAUGAAAUAGGACGUUCGAUCCUAUUUUGUUGGUUUCUAGGAUUGACGUAAUGAUUAAUAGGGAUAGUUGGGGGCAUUAGUAUUCAAUUGUCAGAGGUGAAAUUCUUGGAUUUAUUGAAGACUAACUACUGCGAAAGCAUUUGCCAAGGAUGUUUUCAUUAAUCAAGAACGAAAGUUAGGGGAUCGAAGACGAUCAGAUACCGUCGUAGUCUUAACCAUAAACUAUGCCGACUAGGGAUCGGAUGAUGUUAAUUUUUUAAUGACUCAUUCGGCGCCUUACGGGAAACCAAAGUGUUUGGGUUC
rnacentral:rRNA from 1 species